rnacentral:misc_RNA from 1 species
GUUGGGAAGACGACUCUUACAAAACGUUUGUUUGGUGAAGAAGUAGACAUAAACCAGCGAGAGAGCACGAAUGGAAUAGACGUACAUGUGAGAAGGUGCAAAUUGUCUCUGAACACUGGUCAAUGGAAUAUACUAGACAAAGUCCAAGAAAACAACAAAUAAUGUUUGAUAUUGAAGAUCAGAAAAUGGAAAUGGUAUACCACCGUUUGGUUAAGGUAUUAAAAAGACCAACUUCCAGCGAUACACCUCUUGAAAUGGAAAACAACGAAACAGAAACAGACACGAGACAAGGGGAAGAUGAUGUCGAUGAUGUCGAUGGGAUUAUAUCAAUAGAAGACAAUAUAAAAGAUAAAAAUGAAAAGAAUGAAGAUAUUGGAAAACAUGAUGCUGAAGCUGUAAUGGAUGAAAAAGAACAUAUUCCAGUCUCUAAACCUUUACAAGUGGAAACAAUACCCAUGAAAAACUACUCUAUAAUCAAACCAUCCGAAGAGAUGGUGCUUCAUCACUUGAAGGAAUUAAUAGAAGAGGUUUAACAUAAAUCUGCGAGCGAAGAUGACACAAACACAGCAGAUGUCUCGGUUUGAGAUUUUGCAGGACAGUAUGUGUUCUAUGCAACACACCAAGUGUUCUUGUCAAGGAAGGCCGUGUACUUACUUGUCACUGAUAUAUCCAAACACUUUGAGGAUAUAGUUCAAAAUGAUGACUGUUUCCUGGACAGCAAAGUCGUGAAACAUUUGAAAAUCUCAGAGUUCGUUGACUUUUGGUUGAAUUCCAUACACGAGUUUUGCAGUUCAACGGAAGGCGAAGGUCCACCAGUCGUGCUUGUAGGCACUUUUGCAGACAAAUUGAACAAGGAACACAAACAGGAUACGAUAAAUGAAUUCUUCUACACGUUAAGAAGAUCUCUCCUGGACAAAGCCACAAACAGUCAUCUCAUUGAUGUGGAU